rnacentral:rRNA from 1 species
UACGGGGGGAGCAAGCGUUGUUCGGAUUUACUGGGCGUAAAGGGCGCGUAGGCGGUCGUGACAAGUCACUUGUGAAAUCUCCGGGCUUAACUCGGAACGGUCAAGUGAUACUGUCGGACUAGAGUACAGAAGGGGCAACUGGAAUUCUCGGUGUAGCGGUGAAAUGCGUAGAUAUCGAGAGGAACACCUGCGGCGAAGGCGGGUUGCUGGGCCGGCACUGACGCUGAUGCGCGAAAGCCAGGGGAGCGAACGGG